UCCGGCCCCGGGCCUGCUCGUCAGCGCGCUUGCGCCGUCAGGAUUUGGUCCCUGAAGCUCUCUUGCUGGGAUCCGAGAACCGGAACCUUUGAAGGCUGGAGUACCCGGAUUUCAGAAAGCCCAGUAUGUGUUGACGAGGAUGUGGAGAAAUUGGACCACUGCUGGGGGAUGGGGAGGGGGGCCUCUAAAAUGGGGCAGCUCCCGGGUAGUCUGGCAGUUCUUCGAAAGGCUAGCAUUACCACUGACCCAGCAAUUCUACUUCUAAGCUGACAGCAGCCAGCCCCAUGUGGGGCUCGAACCUACAACUCGGAAGAUCAUGACCUGAGCCCAAGUCAGACCUUUGACUGAGCCACCCAGCUGCACCGAGAAGGUCUUUCAUACAUUUGCGCCCCCCACCCCCCACCCCCCACAGACACAAAGUGUGUUUCCUCCACUCAUCUCGCAGGAUUAUGAUGUGAAGAAGGUGCACAGGGAAGAAAGAACCGACCUGGGCCAAAAUGAAAUGAGAAGCCUUGCCUCCUG